CCCUGACGGAGGUCGGGUGACAUAUUGUUAUUGUACGAUUCUUUUUUUCUUAUUAUUCUUAUUCCGCACUUUUUGUCCAGCUUAGUUCUCGGAAUUGAAUGGACCAAUGUUGAUGGAACUAUAACAUAAUGUUAAUCACCAUGUGUAGUUUUGCAUCUUACUUUGGAAUUAAAAAAAUGGCUGCCAUUGCCAUGGAAACAGCAAAAAUGUGAAAAAUAGAAAUGUGUUCCAAUUUAUAUGAAACUUCUAUGAUAUUAAGAGACUCAUGCACACUUCAACAUGGUACAUUUU
rnacentral:lncRNA from 1 species